UACGUAGGGGGCAAGCGUUGUCCGGAUUUAUUGGGCGUAAAGAGCGUGUAGGCGGCCUGACAAGUCUGCUGUGAAAACUCGAGGCUCAACCUCGAGAUGUCGGCGGAAACUGUCUGGCUAGAGUCCGGAAGAGGAGAGUGGAAUUCCUGGUGUAGCGGUGAAAUGCGCAGAUAUCAGGAAGAACACCGAUGGCGAAGGCAGGUCUCUGGGCCGAUACUGACGCUGAGGAGCGAAAGCGUGGGGAGCGAACAGG
rnacentral:rRNA from 1 species